UCAUAAACAAUCUAUGUACAGUAGGAUGCUUGGAUGUAUGUACAUCAAGUAUAAGAUUGCUUGGCCAUAGAAAACAGAUAUAAUAAGGUCUAGUAGGAGGGCCACCGAAAAGGAGGGGAGCACCACCUCAGAUGGAGGAGCCCCUGCCUUGGCCCCUUCUCAGACUGGACAGUCCUCUCCGAGGACACUUGUAGAGAAAGAUCAGCCCACUACAUCUACGCGCAAGCUGCCGGAGGAGUUUUUAUUCCUUUCAGAAUAUCUUGCAGAGCUGUCAGAGUCAGAGUGGGCUACACUGUCUCAGUCAACUACCAAUCAAAUGACAAAGAUGCAGUUCUUCACAGUCUGCAUUCAUUUGAUGAGCCAUGUAAAUGUGAGCGUGAUGCACUUUGUUCUCCCAACCCUCCUCAAAGUGUUGAAAGAGGAACCAGAAUGGUUCUUAUCUAUUCGGGAGACCUCUAAAUGUCUUGAGUCUUCAAACUUGAGGUAUAUUGAGGAUGAGCAUGACAUCAUGAUUCUGAAAGAUGGAGUACUGAUUGAAAUCAUUCCAAAAGUGAGAAACAUCUCAUCACCUCCAUCCUGCUAGGUGUCGACCAGCCUAACGAUUUAUUCAGAAACACGGCCCCAGUCCAUGCUGUUGGAUGACCUUGGUGUCACAGAGGAGCAGAUUCAAUGUAAUAUUCAAGAGACAUUGAGGAAACUUAUAUA